rnacentral:rRNA from 1 species
UACGUAUGGUGCAAGCGUUAUCCGGAUUUACUGGGCGUAAAGGGAGCGCAGGCGGCGCGCCAAGUCUGAUGUGAAACCCCGGGGCUCAACCCAGGGCAUGCAUUGGAAACUGGCGGGCUGGAGUGCCGGAGAGGUAAGCGGAAUUCCUAGUGUAGCGGUGAAAUGCGUAGAUAUUAGGAGGAACACCAGUGGCGAAGGCGGCUUACUGGACGGCAACUGACGCUGAGGCUCGAAAGCGUGGGGAGCAAACAGG